GAUGAACGCUGGCGGCGUGCCUAAUACAUGCAAGUCGAACGAGUUCUGAUUAUUGAAAGGUGCUUGCAUCUUGAUUUAAUUUUGAACGAGUGGCGGACGGGUGAGUAACACGUGGGUAACCUGCCCUUAAGUGGGGGAUAACAUUUGGAAACAGAUGCUAAUACCGCAUAAAUCCAAAAACCGCAUGGUUCUUGGCUGAAAGAUGGCGUAAGCUAUCGCUUUUGGAUGGACCCGCGGCGUAUUAGCUAGUUGGUGAGGUAACGGCUCACCAAGGCAAUGAUACGUAGCCGAACUGAGAGGUUGAUCGGCCACAUUGGGACUGAGACACGGCCCAAACUCCUACGGGAGGCAGCAGUAGGGAAUCUUCCACAAUGGACGCAAGUCUGAUGGAGCAACGCCGCGUGAGUGAAGAAGGCUUUCGGGUCGUAAAACUCUGUUGUUGGAGAAGAAUGGUCGGCAGAGUAACUGUUGUCGGCGUGACGGUAUCCAACCAGAAAGCCACGGCUAACUACGUGCCAGCAGCCGCGGUAAUACGUAGGUGGCAAGCGUUAUCCGGAUUUAUUGGGCGUAAAGCGAGCGCAGGCGGUUUUUUAAGUCUGAUGUGAAAGCCCUCGGCUUAACCGAGGAAGUGCAUCGGAAACUGGGAAACUUGAGUGCAGAAGAGGACAGUGGAACUCCAUGUGUAGCGGUGAAAUGCGUAGAUAUAUGGAAGAACACCAGUGGCGAAGGCGGCUGUCUGGUCUGUAACUGACGCUGAGGCUCGAAAGCAUGGGUAGCGAACAGGAUUAGAUACCCUGGUAGUCCAUGCCGUAAACGAUGAAUGCUAGGUGUUGGAGGGUUUCCGCCCUUCAGUGCCGCAGCUAACGCAUUAAGCAUUCCGCCUGGGGAGUACGACCGCAAGGUUGAAACUCAAAGGAAUUGACGGGGGCCCGCACAAGCGGUGGAGCAUGUGGUUUAAUUCGAAGCAACGCGAAGAACCUUACCAGGUCUUGACAUCUUUUGAUCACCUGAGAGAUCAGGUUUCCCCUUCGGGGGCAAAAUGACAGGUGGUGCAUGGUUGUCGUCAGCUCGUGUCGUGAGAUGUUGGGUUAAGUCCCGCAACGAGCGCAACCCUUAUGACUAGUUGCCAGCAUUUAGUUGGGCACUCUAGUAAGACUGCCGGUGACAAACCGGAGGAAGGUGGGGAUGACGUCAAAUCAUCAUGCCCCUUAUGACCUGGGCUACACACGUGCUACAAUGGAUGGUACAACGAGUUGCGAGACCGCGAGGUCAAGCUAAUCUCUUAAAGCCAUUCUCAGUUCGGACUGUAGGCUGCAACUCGCCUACACGAAGUCGGAAUCGCUAGUAAUCGCGGAUCAGCACGCCGCGGUGAAUACGUUCCCGGGCCU
rnacentral:rRNA from 1 species